rnacentral:miRNA from 1 species
CAGCAGACACAUUCCAGCCAAUCAGCAGCAGACCCUCCCUCCCACCUCCGGGACAGCAUCCAUUUUACAUUCAUUGUGAAGCUGCAUUCUUAGUGAGCUGUCCAGGAGGUGGGAGGGUCUGGGAGGGAGGGUCUGCUGCUGAUUGGCUGGAAUGUGUCUGCUG